AGGAGUUUGAUCCUGGCUCAGAACGAACGCUGGCGGCAGGCCUAACACAUGCAAGUCGAAGGAGAAGCCAUCUUCGGAUGGUGGAAACUGGCGCACGGGUGAGUAACGCGUGGGUAUCUACCUUGGGGUGGGGAAUAACCGCUGGAAACGGCGGCUAAUACCGCAUACGCCUUUAGAGGGAAAGCUCCGGCGCCCUAAGAGGAGCCCGCGUUGGAUUAGCUUGUUGGUGGGGUAAUGGCCUACCAAGGCUACGAUCUAUAGCUGGUCUGAGAGGAUGAUCAGCCACACUGGGACUGAGAUACGGCCCAGACUCCUACGGGAGGCAGCAGUGGGGAAUAUUGGACAAUGGGCGCAAGCCUGAUCCAGCCAUGCCGCGUGAGUGAAGAAGGCCUUAGGGUUGUAAAGCUCUUUCACCUGCGAAGAUGAUGACGGUAGCAGGAGAAGAAGCCCCGGCUAACUCCGUGCCAGCAGCCGCGGUAAUACGGAGGGGGCUAGCGUUGUUCGGAUUUACUGGGCGUAAAGGGCGCGUAGGCGGUAUGCCAUGUCAGGGGUGAAAGGCCUGGGCUCAACCCAGGAACUGCCUUUGAAACUGGCAAACUAGAGUCCGAUAGAGGAUGGCGGAAUUCCCAGUGUAGAGGUGAAAUUCGUAGAUAUUGGGAAGAACACCAGUGGCGAAGGCGGCCAUCUGGAUCGGCACUG
rnacentral:rRNA from 1 species